rnacentral:rRNA from 1 species
UCGUCUUCGGUGAGGCCGGGGUUGGAUAAAUUAGGUCUCGUCACUUGCGCUUCGUCUUCGCCUAAAGAGGUUUACAACCCGAAGGCCGUCAUCCCUCACGCGGCGUCGCUGCAUCAGGCUUGCGCCCAUUGUGCAAUAUUCCCCACUGCUGCCUCCCGUAGGAGUCUGGGCCGUGUCUCAGUCCCAGUGUGGCCGGUCACCCUCUCAGGCCGGCUACCCGUCGUCGCCUUGGUAGGCCAUCACCCCACCAACAAGCUGAUAGGCCGCGGGCUCAUCCA